GUCUAAAAGUUCACAAAUGGUGAAGCAGGGAUUUGAACCUUAGAAGUUUAGCUUCAGAGUCUGAGCUUUUAACCAUGAUAAGUAAAUACGACCCCGGAGACAGUUUCCCCAUUUGCACUUGGGAAAGACUGGCAGGUGGGUUUCCCUCGCAGUACCUGAGGUGUCCACCUGCCACUUUUCUCUGACUUCAGGACUGGCCCUGGUUCACCAGACUGCAGCUUCGCCAGGUGGGUAGCCACAGGCAAGGGGAUGUGGGUCAGGCCUCAUUCCUUCAGAGCACCCUGGAUCUUUGUUCCUCACGAGUCACCACACAAGCCUGGUACAUCCUCAAUACUCAAUUCUGUGUUGAAACAUCUGGGAAAACUUCCUGAAGGAAGAGUUAUCCAAGCUAAGACCUAACCCCUGCCUGCUAUUUGGCAUAUGAAGGUCCUGACCUGAGAAAACCAUCUCGGAUAACCAAGAAGAAGGAAAAAUGCAACACCUAGGAGAUUUCAGUAAACAGUAGAAUCAUGCCAACCUAAUCUGUGUUAAAAUGCUUGGAAUGUGGGAGCCGCUGAUGAUGCCUGUUGUCUGUGUGUCUGACUGAAUCCUUUCUUUUCUCAGAGCAGCAAAGCAAAGCCUGGGAACCAGGCCAAAUGCCUGCCACUUACCUUAAAUUGAUCAGCCACUUUGAGAUUAAAACCCCUGAAAGCUGCCACACCGUGAAAACAAGGCCUCCUUCACAUUAAAGGCAAAUUGCGACUUUG